rnacentral:rRNA from 1 species
GACGAACGCUGGCGGCGUGCUUAACACAUGCAAGUCGAACGAUGAAGCUGGAGCUUGCUCCGGUGGAUUAGUGGCGAACGGGUGAGUAACACGUGAGCAAUCUGCCCUUGACUCUGGGAUAACUGCGGGAAACUGUAGCUAAUACCGGAUACGAGACCUGAAGGCAUCUUCGGGUCUGGAAAGAAUUUCGGUCAAGGAUGAGCUCGCGGCCUAUCAGCUUGUUGGUGAGGUAAUGGCUCACCAAGGCGACGACGGGUAGCCGGCCUGAGAGGGUGACCGGCCACACUGGGACUGAGACACGGCCCAGACUCCUACGGGAGGCAGCAGUGGGGAAUAUUGCACAAUGGGCGAAAGCCUGAUGCAGCAACGCCGCGUGAGGGAUGAAGGCUUUCGGGUUGUAAACCUCUUUUAGCACCGACGAAGCGCAAGUGACGGUAGGUGCAGAAGAAGGACCGGCCAACUACGUGCCAGCCGCCGCAGUAA